GCCUGGGUGGCUCAGUCGGUUGAGCAUCUGACUUCAGCUCAGGUCACGAUCUCCCAGUCUGUGAGUUCGAGCCCCACGUUGGGCU
rnacentral:tRNA from 1 species